rnacentral:sRNA from 1 species
CCAUAUAUAACUAUCCACAUUGCUAAAUCUGCGUUAACCCAACAUUUUGUUCAGCUGAAUAUAUUUUGUAUAAAUUGUAUGUGUCCAUGAAUACAAAUCCACUCUCUACUUUUAUUAACUUCGA